CCCUGAUGCACAAGGUACUUAACAAUACUUAUUUAAUUUUUACUUAUUCAUAUUUUUCAACAUAUUCCUUCUCAGUACUUAGAUUAUAUAAAUUCUUUUUUUAAUAUUUGUUUUACAAAACUUAUAUCUAUAAUCUUUUAUAUUACUUAUACAGAACUCAAACU
rnacentral:rRNA from 1 species